rnacentral:ncRNA from 1 species
AGGGAGAGUGCCGAAAAUCCCAUCACAGAGUAGGCG